rnacentral:rRNA from 1 species
AUUGAACGCUGGCGGCAGGCCUAACACAUGCAAGUCGAACGGUAACAGGAAGAAGCUUGCUUCUUUGCUGACGAGUGGCGGACGGGUGAGUAAUGUCUGGGAAACUGCCUGAUGGAGGGGGAUAACUACUGGAAACGGUAGCUAAUACCGCAUAACGUCGCAAGACCAAAGAGGGGGACCUUCGGGCCUCUUGCCAUCGGAUGUGCCCAGAUGGGAUUAGCUUGUUGGUGGGGUAACGGCUCACCAAGGCGACGAUCCCUAGCUGGUCUGAGAGGAUGACCAGCCACACUGGAACUGAGACACGGUCCAGACUCCUACGGGAGGCAGCAGUGGGGAAUAUUGCACAAUGGGCGCAAGCCUGAUGCAGCCAUGCCGCGUGUACGAAGAAGGCCUUCGGGUUGUAAAGUACUUUCAGCGGGGAGGAAGGGAGUAAAGUUAAUACCUUUGCUCAUUGACGUUACCCGCAGAAGAAGCACCGGCUAACUCCGUG